GCCAAUUUUUCAAUAAGAAAAUUCUAUAAUGAUGAGAACACAAAUUGACAAGUACGUACAACAACAAACAAAAUCAGUGUAUAUUAAUAAAAAGAUUACCAGUUAAUUAACAAUGAAGCGGGCAAAUUUUCUCCACCAAAUUAAUUAAUGUUGGAGAUGAUCAUCAUCAUAAUCAUCAUCACAUCACACGGAGAAGAAAAUUCAUCGACUUCAUCACCACUUGAGGAGGUAAUCUUGCUGUCUUUCUUUAUUAGUAAUCUGCUCAUCAUCUUCCAGCAGCAAGUGCUCCGUAGCAAACCGCUCCCUCUCAUGCAUUCUCCUGAGAAUUUUUUGUUACUGAGCACAAGCUUAGGUGCGUAUAAUUAGCAGAUAUUAUAUAUAUAUUCAACCCCAAAAACAAGCGAGAAAAAGAAAAAGGAGGGAGGGAAGAUCGAUUCAUCAGUUGGUUGGCUUUUUCUAGCGAAGAAAUUCAUCUUCUUCAGAGCCAGUAGUGAUGCAAUCUUUGUCAUCUUCAAAACCUUCAAGAGAAGGAUGAGGAGAGUGGCCUUUACCAAAAGACCUAAUGUGAUCUUUGAGAGACCUUUUGUGC
rnacentral:misc_RNA from 1 species